CCUACGGGUGGCAGCAGUGAGGAAUAUUGGUCAAUGGACGCAAGUCUGACGGAGCAACGCCGCGUGAUCGAAUGAAGGCCUUCGGGUUGUAAAGAUCUGUUGACAGGGACGAAUAAGCCAUGCGAAUAGUUUGGUGUAUGACGGUACCUGUUUAGAAAGCUCCGGCUAACUACGUGCCAGCAGCCGCGGUAAUCCGUAGGGAGCAAGCGUUGUCCGGAAUUACUGGGCGUAAAGGGCGCGUAGGUGGGUGCUUAAGUCAGGUGUGAAAACUCUGGGCUCAACCUGGAGACUGCACUUGAAACUGGGUAUCUUGAGGGCAGGAGGGGAGAGUGGAAUUCCAAGUGUAGCGGUGAAAUGCGUAGAUAUUAGGAGGAACACCAGUGGCGAAGGCGACUUUCUGGGCUGUACCUGACGCUGAGGCGCGAAAGCGUGGGUAGCGAACGGGAUUAGAUACCCCUGUAGUC
rnacentral:rRNA from 1 species